GAGCGGACAGAAGGGAGCUUGCUCCCGGAUGUUAGCGGCGGACGGGUGAGUAACACGUGGGUAACCUGCCUGUAAGACUGGGAUAACUCCGGGAAACCGGAGCUAAUACCGGAUAGUUCCUUGAACCGCAUGGUUCAAGGAUGAAAGACGGUUUCGGCUGUCACUUACAGAUGGACCCGCGGCGCAUUAGCUAGUUGGUGGGGUAAUGGCUCACCAAGGCGACGAUGCGUAGCCGACCUGAGAGGGUGAUCGGCCACACUGGGACUGAGACACGGCCCAGACUCCUACGGGAGGCAGCAGUAGGGAAUCUUCCGCAAUGGACGAAAGUCUGACGGAGCAACGCCGCGUGAGUGAUGAAGGUUUUCGGAUCGUAAAGCUCUGUUGUUAGGGAAGAACAAGUGCGAGAGUAACUGCUCGCACCUUGACGGUACCUAACCAGAAAGCCACGGCUAACUACGUGCCAGCAGCCGCGGUAAUACGUAGGUGGCAAGCGUUGUCCGGAAUUAUUGGGCGUAAAGGGCUCGCAGGCGGUUUCUUAAGUCUGAUGUGAAAGCCCCCGGCUCAACCGGGGAGGGUCAUUGGAAACUGGGAAACUUGAGUGCAGAAGAGGAGAGUGGAAUUCCACGUGUAGCGGUGAAAUGCGUAGAGAUGUGGAGGAACACCAGUGGCGAAGGCGACUCUCUGGUCUGUAACUGAC
rnacentral:rRNA from 1 species